UCACGUGUGUGCAGCUGCCCGGUGCCCUUCAUGAGUUUCCAGGAGCAAGAUCACAUACAGACUAACUGCUGUGGUCUCCAGGGCUCCUGUGCACUUCUCAAAUAGCUCACCAUGACUCCAGCCUGCUGCAUGCCGCGUGCGAGUGAGCACGCAACCUGUCCAUGCUUACACACACGCCCACAGAUGCCCACGCUCACAUGCACCUGCCCACUUACACACAUGCCUACGCUCACACACAUACGUGCCCGUGCUCACACCCGCCCAUGCUCACACACCCACACACACCUGCCCACGCUCACACCUGCCCCCACACACCUGCCCACACUCAGACACACUUGCCCCCGUCACCCACACACGCCCACGCUCACACACACCUGCCCGUGCUCACACACCCGCCCAUGCUCACACCCACACAUACCUGCCCAUGCUCACACCUGCCCCCACACACCUGCCCACACUCAGACACACCUGCUCCCUCACACACACGCCCACGCUCACACACCUGCCCACUUACACACCCACACAUGCCCACGCUCACACACACCUGCCCACUUACACACAUGCCCACGCUCACACACCUGCCCACUUACACACAUGCCCACACUCACACCUGCCCACUUACACACGCCCACGCUCACACACCUGCCCACUUACAUGCCCACGCUCACACACCUGCCCACUUACACACAUGCCCACGCUCACACACCUGCCCACUUACAUGCCCACGCUCACACACCUGCCCACUUACACACAUGCCCACACUCACGCACACCUGCCCACUUACACACGCCCACGCUCACACAACCUGCCCACUUACAUGCCCACGCUCAAACACACACCUGCCCACUUACACACACCUGCCCACACACACACCUGCCCACUUACACACGCCCACGCUCACACACACACCUGCCCACUUACAUGGCUACGUUCACACACACCUGCCCGUGCUCCCACACCCGCCCAUGCUCACACACCCACACACCUGCCCACGCUCACACCUGCCCCCACACACCUGCCCACACUCAGACACACUUGCCCCCUCACCCACACACACGCCCACGCUCACACACACCUGCCCGUGCUCACACACCCGCCCAUGCUCACACCCACACACCUGCCCACGCUCACACCUGCCUUCACACACCUGCCCAUACUCAGACACACCUGCCCACUCACACCCACACAUGCCCAUGCUCACACAUGCCCACACUCACACCCGUGCUCACACACCUGCCCCACACACACCUGCCCAUGCUGACACACAACUACCCAUGCUCACACCUGCCCAUGCUCGCACACCUGCCCACACUCAUCCACACACCUAUCCACACUUACGCACACCUGCCCAUCACACACGCCUGCCCACACUCACAGAUGCCCACACCCACACCUGCCCACUCACCUACACACACUCCCAUGCUCACACGCACCUGCCCAAACAUGCCCACACACACACCCACACCUGCCCACACUCAGACACCUGCCCACAC
rnacentral:lncRNA from 1 species